GACGAACGCUGGCGGCGUGCCUAAUACAUGCAAGUCGAACGCAUUUUCUUUCACCGUAGCUUGCUACACCGAAAGAAAAUGAGUGGCGAACGGGUGAGUAACACGUGGGUAACCUGCCCAUCAGCGGGGGAUAACACUUGGAAACAGGUGCUAAUACCGCAUAAUUCCAUUUACCGCAUGGUAGAUGGAUGAAAGGCGCUUUUGCGUCACUGAUGGAUGGACCCGCGGUGCAUUAGCUAGUUGGUGGGGUAACGGCCUACCAAGGCUGCGAUGCAUAGCCGACCUGAGAGGGUGAUCGGCCACACUGGGACUGAGACACGGCCCAGACUCCUACGGGAGGCAGCAGGAGGGAAUCUUCGGCAAUGGACGCAAGUCUGACCGAGCAACGCCGCGUGAGUGAAGAAGGUUUUCGGAUCGUAAAACUCUGUUGUUAGAGAAGAACAAGGAUGAGAGUGGAAAGUUCAUCCCUUGACGGUAUCUAACCAGAAAGCCACGGCUAACUACGUG
rnacentral:rRNA from 1 species